AACAUGUCCAAUUUGAAAUCAAGUAUAAAAAUUUGUUCAGAAAAACCUGUUCAGUGCUGGCUUAUUAUCCCCAUCGAUGCCUGCUGAAUGCAGAGGGGGUAUGGGAAUUGUAAAAAGAAAAGAGAAAUACAGGAGAAGGGAAGAACCAGUGAAUGCAAAAAUCUGGAAGGAAACCAGAGAAGUGAGACAUGGGUGGUUAAAAGCAGGGAAAAAUGGGGAAGAGAAGUGAUGCUUUUUAUAAUGGCAUUGGGUCAGAAGUGACGGUAGAAGUUUUAACCUUUACAGAGUGAAAUGCUUACAUGUCCCUAUUCAAAUACACAUAUGCACACACUUUCCAUGCCACACACUCAUUUCCAGAGAGCAUCCCCUGGCUCCUUGCUUAACUAAACUAUUGAGCAAUGGAGGAUUUGUGAUCUGAACUCAGGACUCUGGUCUCUCCGUCUGUAGCAGCCUUGCUGUCUCUUUCUUCAAAUUAAAAUCUCUUUGUGUUUGAGGGUCAUCAGUUUAUCUUAUUAUUAAGUUAAAUUUAAGGAUCACUGAACAAUGCCUUCAAAAUUUGUCAUCUAUAGGGAAAUCAAGGGUGGGGGGGGAGAGAGAGAGAAGUUUGGAUCGCAUUUCCUUGACCCAUAGUGGAUUUCACUUGAGAAAACAGCCUUUAAUGUAAACAACCUCUGAAAUUUUUUUUCAUGUUAUCUUUUAAAAUAAUAAUUUCAUAAAUAACUUUUCCUAAAAUGCACAAAUUAAAUUCAUCAGGCCUCCAUCAGGGGAGUGUUGGCUUAGGCUCAGCCAAAUAUAAAAUUCUUCAAACUUUUAAUAUUCUUUUGCUCACAACAGCUUUUCAAAAGGUUGUGGAAAGACUAGGAAAUGCACUUUCGUUCUCUGCUUAGUGCCUGAACAUUAGUUUGACUUUAAUAGGCUGGGAUGAUUUCAGCUUAUAAAUCUUCAACUGGAGGAUAAAGUUCAAGUAGAUAAAAUCAAACAGAUGUUGGUGGGAGGAUUUCUUCAUGACCCAUAAAAGUGCUAUCAUCAAAGCGGAGAAUCAUUUGUUUUGAAUUAUUACACUGUUAUCAAAAGGACUGUAGCAGUCUGUUUGUUGAGGAAUUGGAUCUGUUUAUCUGAAAACAGAACAAAGAUGCCAUGCUACGGGCGUUCCUGGGAAAGCGUGGUUCAGACCACGGCUGACAGGGCCCGGCGGCUCUCAGACGCUUUGAUUGACGUUCGUCAGCAGAGGCGGCAGUCAGCCCAUGUCAUUCUGGAGGCGGUCUGGAAUAGCCCCUUGUUAACCAGAACUUGGCUAACGGAGCUGGAGGUCAGUGGUAGGGAAACCCUCCAAGGAAGAGCAGAAAAUUCAUCCAAGUGAAUAAUGAGUUGUUAGUGGGAGCAAAAUAAUUCAUUUUCUCAACAUGUGGGUGAAUGGUGAGGAAGUGGAAUUCAAUGCUCCCCACUGCAGGAGCACCAGUUCUGGAUCAGGCUACUGCACAGACCACCUCUAACCACUUAGGUGGGAAUGGCUCCUACCUGGGUAUAAAUGCAUGCUCAUAUUUUAGAAAGUGACUCUCCAAAAUCCCUUUUUUCUUUGUAUAAUUUGGUUUAUAGAAUUACACACAUCUACAGAUUCCAAGCACGUCUCUGUUGGAUGUACCCUAAAGGUAACACAGAUGUUCAGAAUACUUAAACUAUAACAUGAAGAAAUGAUAGUCUUAAACUUGAUGCUAAUCAGGUUUUGGCCGGAGGAAAGCUGUGUGUGUUUCCCACUUUCUUUUACAACUGAUAAUUUAGGAACACCUCUGUUUAGUUGUCAAAGUUGCCAAAUAUAUACUGAAUUAUGUUAAUAGAACAACCUAACCUAUAAAAGGUUUUCUACUUCACUAACACUAACCUCCCUCCUUGGACUUUAAAGAUCCUGGAUGAUCUGGCCUCUUUGUACCUUUUUCUUUACCCCAGCAUUUACAUUGUGCUCUACUUUUUCAGGUUCCUUUGUUUUCAUAUUUCAAAAAAUCAAUUUCAGGGGAUUUAUCUUCCCCACCCCUCUAUGGUUUUCUGCACUAUAGUCAUUCCCCCUUCCCCUUUAAAAGCCUAUUUGGGAUUCUUAUAAAAGCAACAACACUGUGAUAUUUAAAAUUUUGCAUAUAGUCAUAAGGGAAAAGAUCUGCUAAUUUAUUUUUCCCCUUGGUUCUCAUCCCCGACUUCUAUCCCCAAGACAGGAGCCUCUGAUAAAUCUUUCAAGACUAACGAAAGCCCUAUUUCUCCAUGAUAUCCAGCUAUUGCAAAGGAUAGUCUGGACUAUUUCAUACAUCACUUAUCCAAGAGGGCCUCAGGAUUUAAGAUGCUGGGUUCUAACCCUGUUCUCCACUAGCUCUGUAAACCCUAGGAGCAAGCCUGUGGGAUUUAAUUUCUGCCCCCAUAAAUUAAGUGAACUGAGCUUUCAUUUACUCUAAAAAGUUUCUGACUCAUGUUGUGUUCUUAUUGCUCUGAUUAAAUCGUAAGCUCCUUGUGGGAAAGAGGCCUAUCUCACCAGCUUUCUCUUCUGUUGUGGUUGCUUAUCUAAUGUAAUUCUGACUUCCAGAAAUUAACCAGAAAAUACUUUUUGAUUACAUAUUUAUUUGAAAAUAAAACAACAUACUGUCUGAUUUGAAAUUUCUUUGAGCAAAUAUAGAAAAAGAAAAAUGUCAAUGUAAGUGAAAAAUCAGGUGAAUUAUGCAUUUAUAAAUUGCUUCAUUCCCUCUGUUGUCCUUGGUGUCUCUUUGGCAAGUGUCACUCAUCCUCUCCCAACUUUAGGACAGGUUCCACUCGAGCUAGAGACUGGUGCAAGGUAGGCUCAGCAAGCCUGGACCUGGAGGCACAUCCCUUUGCUUUAUUUUCUUACACUUCACCCUUUUCCUCCAAAAGUUAAGGCUAUGCUGUCUCAAAAUUGUAUUCAUGAAGAAGAUUGGUUUUCAUUCCUACAGAAUGUUUUUCUUUUUCUUCUGUGCAAAUGUGUAUAGAAGUUUGUCUGAGUCCAUGUACAAUGGUACUACAUGACUAUCAUUUCACAUUUUCGUCUGCAUAAAUCUUUUCCAAACCCAAUUUAAUUGCAAACAUGCAAUGCUUUCCUAUAUAAUUUUUUUGAAACACUAAGAAAAGCAAACACUAUAAAUGGGAAAGUGUUACAUAUGGGGACCCCUACUUGCAUGGAAAUGAAAUCACAGGCUGAAAGUUUCCUUAGGGGAAUGCGUGCCACUUCUGGUAGCCCCCCAAAGAGACACAUUUAAACAGAUAAUAGAUGCCCUCUGAUACCUGGUGAGGGUGCUGGUGAGGGUGCUGGUGAGGAGGGCAUGUCUAGUCAGCUAUUGUAAUAUUCUGGGGACUAUCACAGUAAUUUUCAUUGUGCCUACUGCUACCCAUAUCAUUAGGGAGUGUUUUUGUUUUUUUCUUCAUACUGGGGUUUGAAUUCAGGGCACUCAAACACUGAACCACAUCCCCAGAAAUUUUGUAUUUUAUUUAGAGACAGGGUCUUACUGAGUUGCUUAGCGCCUCGCUUUUGCUGAGGCUGGCUUUGAACUUGCAACCCUCCUGCCUUAGCCUCCCAGGCUGCUGGGAUUACAGGCUUGUGCCACCACACCUGGCCCAAGGUCUGUCUUUCUCUCCCAUGAGAGUACAAGAGGAAGAGGAGCUCUGAUAUGUAUCCCCUUGUGCCUCUCUCCCCUCAGCUUCCAGCAGGUAUCUAUAUGCAAUCUGCAAUCCUGCUGCCAAUGCCUUCUUGGGUCUCAGGAAGUCUUCUCUUCCGGGCCCCUGGCCUGGUCUCCAUUUGCCAUACUGGGUAACCUUUGUUGUUGUCUGGCACAGCCGCCUUCUGUCGGAAUCCCACCUGCCUACUUGGUGGCCUUUCUGUACAGGACUCCAAAGGGCUGUGGGCUUUCUUUUCCAUGUGGUCUACCUCUGUGGACCGUGCACUAGCAUUGAUCCACCUUGGAGCACCCCAAGUGUCCUUUGCUGCACUCCCUCUGAUGCCCUUGGAGUCUCCUUGGCAAGUAUCACUCAUCCUCUCCCAACUUUAG
rnacentral:lncRNA from 1 species